rnacentral:rRNA from 1 species
CUACGCACUCCUACGGGAGGCAGCAGUGGGGAAUAUUGCACAAUGGGCGCAAGCCUGAUGCAGCCAUGCCGCGUGUAUGAAGAAGGCCUUCGGGUUGUAAAGUACUUUCAGCAGUGAGGAAGGUGGGUAUGUUAAUAGCAUAUUCAUUUGACGUUAGCUGCAGAAGAAGCACCGGCUAACUCCGUGCCAGCAGCCGCGGUAAUACGGAGGGUGCGAGCGUUAAUCGGAAUUACUGGGCGUAAAGCGCAUGCAGGUGGUUUGUUAAGUCAGAUGUGAAAGCCCGGGGCUCAACCUCGGAAUUGCAUUGAAACUGGCAAACUAGAGUACUGUAGAGGGGGUAGAAUUUCAGGUGUAGCGGUGAAAUGCGUAGAGAUCUGAAGGAAUACCGGUGGCGAAGGCGGCCCCCUGGACAGAUACUGACACUCAGAUGCGAAAGCGUGGGGAGCAAACAGGAUUAGAUACCCGGGUAG